rnacentral:rRNA from 1 species
UACGUAGGGGGCAAGCGUUGUCCGGAAUCAUUGGGCGUAAAGAGCGUGUAGGCGGCCCGAUAAGUCCGCUGUGAAAGUCCAGGGCUCAACCCUGGGAUGCCGGUCGAUACUGCCGGACUAGAGUUCGGAAGAGGCGAGUGGAAUUCCCGGUGUAGCGGUGAAAUGCGCAGAUAUCGGGAGGAACACCAAUGGCGAAGGCAGCUCGCUGGGACGUUACUGACGCUGAGACGCGAAAGCGUGGGGAGCAAACAGG